CCUACGGGCGGCAGCAGUGGGGAAUAUUGCACAAUGGGGGGAACCCUGAUGCAGCAACGCCGCGUGGGUGAAGAAGUAUUUCGGUAUGUAAAGCCCUGUCAGCAGGGAAGAAGGAGACGGUACCUGACCACGAAGCCCCGGCUAACUACGGGCCAGCCGCCGCGGUAAUACGUAGGGGGCAAGCGUUAUCCGGAUUUACUGGAGGUAAAGGGAGCGUAGACGGGUCUGCAAGUCUGGAGUGAAAGGCCGAGGCCCAACCACGGGAAUGACCUUGAAACUGCGGGGCUGGAGUGCAGGAGGGGUAAGCGGAAUUCCUAGUGUAGCGGUGAAAUGCGUAGAUAUUAGGAGGAACACCGGUGGCGAAGGCGGCUUACUGGACUGUAACUGACGCUGAGGCUCGAAGGCGUGGGGAGCAAACAGGAUUAGAUACCCGAGUAGUC
rnacentral:rRNA from 1 species